rnacentral:rRNA from 1 species
ACGAACGCUGGCGGCGUGCCUAAUACAUGCAAGUAGAACGCUGAAGAGAGGAGCUUGCUCUUCUUGGAUGAGUUGCGAACGGGUGAGUAACGCGUAGGUAACCUGCCUUGUAGCGGGGGAUAACUAUUGGAAACGAUAGCUAAUACCGCAUAACAAUGGAUGACACAUGUCAUUUAUUUGAAAGGGGCAAUUGCUCCACUACAAGAUGGACCUGCGUUGUAUUAGCUAGUAGGUGAGGUAAUGGCUCACCUAGGCGACGAUACAUAGCCGACCUGAGAGGGUGAUCGGCCACACUGGGACUGAGACACGGCCCAGACGCCUACGGGAGGCAGCAGUAGCGAAUCUUCGGCAAUGGGGGCAACCCUGACCGAGCAACGCCGAGUGAGUGAAGAAGGUUUUCGGAUCGUAAAGCUCUGUUGUAAGUCAAGAACGGGUGUGAGAGUGGAAAGUUCACACUGUGACGGUAGCUUAACAGAAAGGGACGGCUAACUACGUG